rnacentral:hammerhead_ribozyme from 1 species
AUUCAUCUGACGAGUCCCAAAUAGGACGAAACUGGCAUCCUGGAU